rnacentral:rRNA from 1 species
CUACGGGGGGCUGCAGUGAGGAAUAUUGCACAAUGGGGGGAACCCUGAUGCAGCAACGCCGCGUGGAGGAUGACGCAUUUCGGUGUGUAAACUCCUUUUAUAUGUCAAGAAAAUGACGGUAGCAUAUGAAUAAGCACCGGCUAACUCCGUGCUAGCAGCCGCGGUAAUACGGAGGGUGCAAGCGUUACUCGGAAUCACUGGGCGUAAAGGACGCGUAGGCGGGUUGGAAAGUCGGGUGUGAAAUCCUACAGCUUAACUGUAGAACUGCACUUGAAACUUCUAAUCUAGAGUAUGGGAGGGGGAGAUGGAAUUAGUGGUGUAGGGGUAAGAUCCGUAGAUAUCACUAGGAAUACCUAAAGCGAAGGCGAUCUCCUGGAACAUUACUGACGCUAAGGCGUGAAAGCGUGGGGAGCAAACAGGAUUAGAUACCCUCGUAGUC